rnacentral:tRNA from 1 species
CGGGGCGGAGCGCAGCCUGGUAGCGCAUCUGCUUUGGGAGCAGAGGGUCGUGAGUUCGAAUCCCACCGCCCCGACCA